UGAGCAAAGCAGUGUGGAACAACAACAAGCUGACUGUUAAGACCAAGGUCAAAGUAUAUCAUGCUUACACUGUCAACACCCCUCUGUAAGGUGGCAAAUCCUGU